CAUGGCGGCGGCUAUCGUACGGUUCGACUGUAGCUUCGCAUACGACAUUCGAUCGGUCGGUCGGCGAGCCGGUCGGUAAGACGAUUUGGCAGUGUACUUUAUCGAGUUUAUAACACAAUACGCCGGGGUUGAUUUCCCUCCGGUUUUCGCAAUAUUUUCAAGUUCUCUACCAGACACGCCUUACCCCCGGCAACGCAUGUUUUGGCCAGGACGGCCGCCACUGGCUAUACGUGCCAGAUAGAUUCG